UUGGAGGGCAAGUCUGGUGCCAGCAGCCGCGGUAAUUCCAGCUCCAAUAGCGUAUAUUAAAGUUGUUGCAGUUAAAAAGCUCGUAGUUGAAUUUCGGGAUCAAUGUUUCGGUCAUGCCGUUGGUAUGUACUGAUAUUAUUGGUUUCUCACCUUUUAAAGAACCGUAAUGCCAUUAAUUUGGUGUCACGGGGAAUUAGGACUGUUACCUUGAAAAAAUUAGAGUGUUUAAAGCAGGCUCACGCUUGAAUACAUUAGCAUGGAAUAAUGAAAUAGGACAUCCGAUUCUAUUUUGUUGGUUUCUAGGAUCGAUGUAAUGAUUAAUAGGGAUAGUUGGGGGCAUUAGUAUUCAAUUGUCAGAGGUGAAAUUCUUGGAUUUAUUGAAGACUAACUACUGCGAAAGCAUUUGCCAAGGAUGUUUUCAUUAAUCAAGAACGAAAGUUAGGGGAUCGAAGACGAUCAGAUACCGUCGUAGUCUUAACCAUAAACUAUGCCGACUAGGGAUCGGAUGAUGUUAAUUUUUUAAUGACUCAUUCGGCACCUUACGGGAAACCAAAG
rnacentral:rRNA from 1 species